rnacentral:tRNA from 1 species
AUUUAAAUAGCUUAUAAAGAGCAUAAUAUUGAAGAUAUUAAGGAGAUUAGAUUAAUCUUUAAAUA